rnacentral:rRNA from 1 species
GAGACAACGUACAAACCUUAUCGAUAAACAAUUGGAGGGCAAGUCUGGUGCCAGCAGCCGCGGUAAUUCCAGCUCCAAUAGCGUAUAUUAACGUUGUUGCAGUUAAAAAGCUCGUAGUUGAAAUGAAGGGUAGUUGUGUAAUGAAUACAUUCGUGUAUUUUGUUAUUCUACUACCCUCCUUCUAAAUUCGAUAUAUGAGUAUUAAUUUACUUGUAUAUGGUUUUAGACCUUUACUGUGAGAAAAUUAGAGUGUUCAAAGCAGGCAUUUGCUUGAAUAUAUUAGCAUGGAAUAAUCAUGUAUGAUUUUCAUGAUGUAUUUGAUUGGUUUGGUUCAUGAGAAUAAGAUUAAAAGGGACAGUUGGGGGUAUUCAUAUUCAAUAGUCAGAGGUGAAAUUCUCGGAUUUAUGGAAGAUGAACAAGUGCGAAAGCAUUUACCAAGGAUGUUUUCAUUAAUCAAGAACGAAAGUUAGGGGAUCGAAGAGGAU